rnacentral:rRNA from 1 species
UUGAUAGGUUAAGAGCUAAUUAACUGGACGUUACCUACAGAAGAAGCACCGGCUAACUCCGUGCCAGCAGCCGCGGUAAUACGGAGGGUGCGAGCGUUAAUCGGAAUUACUGGGCGUAAAGGGUGCGUAGGUGGUUUGAUAAGUUAGUUGUGAAAUUCCUGGGCUCAACCUAGGCACUGCAACUAAUACUGUUGAACUCGAGUAUGGGAGAGGGCAGCGGAAUUUCCGGUGUAGCGGUGAAAUGCGUAGAGAUCGGAAGGAACACCAGUGGCGAAGGCGGCUGCCUGGCCUAAUACUGACACUGAGGCACGAAAGCGUGGGGAGCAAACAGGAUUAGAUACCCUGGUAGUCCACGCCGUAAACGAUGUCAACUAGCCGUUGGUUAUAUGAAUAUAAUUAGUGGCGCAGCAAACGCGAUAAGUUGACAUCGU